CCUACGGGACGCAGCAGUGGGGAAUAUUGCACAAUGGGGGAAACCCUGAUGCAGCAACGCCGCGUGAGUGAAGAAGGUUUUCGGAUUGUAAAGCUCUGUUAGCAGGGAAGAGGAAGGACGGUACCUGCAGAGGAAGCCACGGCUAACUACGUGCCAGCAGCCGCGGUAAUACGUAGGUGGCAAGCGUUGUUCGGAUUUACUGGGUGUAAAGGGGGCGCAAACGGCGAUGCAAGCCAGGAGUGAAAGCCCGGGGCCCAACCCCA
rnacentral:rRNA from 1 species